AAUGCCUUCUGAAGCCUCAUUAAGUGGCAUUCAUAACUUGAAAUGUGCCCUUCCCAUGUAAGCAUGUGCCUUCUCAGGUAACUCAUGUUCUGGAGUGUGGCAUAUGGGUACCAUGCCUCCUUUGUUCCUGGUCCUGCACAGGGGUUCCAGUACCCCCCGCCCAGGGGAGAGGGGAAAUGGUUGUAGGGAUAUGAGGGAGCAGCACAGGGCCACAGUUGAGCAUGGUCUUGACACAAAAGGGCUGGGAAGAUGAGUGGAGUUGGGGCAGCAAGAGGCUUGGAGGUGACUGCCCUGCAUGUCCAUGGUGCAUGAAUCAUAGAGGCUCAAUUGGGGUGUUCAUUGGGUUAGGAGGCUGGCUAGGGUGUCCUCAUUUUGAAGAUCCUGGUAUGACUGAGGAAAGGGACUUCAGGGCAAUUGAGAAUAGGUGGGGCUACCUGCCCCCUAAUAUGUUGCAGUGCCUGAAAUUGUACCAUUAUCAUCUCAUUCCUUUGGCUUAAGCAAUGAGUGAAAGGGGUGGGUGGGGAGACCAGAUUCCAAUUUAGAAAUAUCCCUUUGGCUACCUGUAGAGGAGAGAUUUGGCAUCUGAGUGGCAGAACAUAGGAGCCUAGAG
rnacentral:lncRNA from 1 species